GACGAACGCUGGCGGCGUGCUUAACACAUGCAAGUCGAACGGAAAGGCCCUGCUUUUGUGGGGUGCUCGAGUGGCGAACGGGUGAGUAACACGUGAGUAACCUGCCCUUGACUUUGGGAUAACUUCAGGAAACUGGGGCUAAUACCGGAUAGGAGCUCCUGCUGCAUGGUGGGGGUUGGAAAGUUUCGGCGGUUGGGGAUGGACUCGCGGCUUAUCAGCUUGUUGGUGGGGUAGUGGCUUACCAAGGCUUUGACGGGUAGCCGGCCUGAGAGGGUGACCGGCCACAUUGGGACUGAGAUACGGCCCAGAGUCCUACGGGAGGCAGCGGUGGGGAAUAUUGCACAAUGGGCGGAAGCCUGAUGCAGCAACGCCGCGUGCGGGAUGACGGCCUUCGGGUUGUAAACCGCUUUCGCCUGUGACGAAGCGUGAGUGACGGUAAUGGGUAAAGAAGCACCGGCGAACUACGGG
rnacentral:rRNA from 1 species